UAGGGAAUCUUCCGCAAUGGGUGAAAGCCUGACGGAGCAACGCCGCGUGAGUGAUGAAGGUCUUCGGAUCGUAAAACUCUGUUAUUAGGGAAGAACAAAUGUGUAAGUAACUAUGCACGUCUUGACGGUACCUAAUCAGAAAGCCACGGCUAACUACGUGCCAGCAGCCGCGGUAAUACGUAGGUGGCAAGCGUUAUCCGGAAUUAUUGGGCGUAAAGCGCGCGUAGGCGGUUUUUUAAGUCUGAUGUGAAAGCCCACGGCUCAACCGUGGAGGGUCAUUGGAAACUGGAAAACUUGAGUGCAGAAGAGGAAAGUGGAAUUCCAUGUGUAGCGGUGAAAUGCGCAGAGAUAUGGAGGAACACCAGUGGCGAAGGCGACUUUCUGGUCUGUAACUGACGCUGAUGUGCGAAAGCGUGGGGAUCAAACAGG
rnacentral:rRNA from 1 species